CCUACGGGAGGCAGCAGUGAGGAAUAUUGGUCAAUGGGCGGAAGCCUGAACCAGCCAAGUAGCGUGCAGGAUGACGGCCCUACGGGUUGUAAACUGCUUUUAUACGGGAAUAACGCGCCUUACGUGUAGGGCUUUGCAUGUACCGUGUGAAUAAGGACCGGCUAAUUCCGUGCCAGCAGCCGCGGUAAUACGGAAGGUCCGGGCGUUAUCCGGAUUUAUUGGGUUUAAAGGGAGCGUAGGCCGGAUGUCAAGCGUGCUGUGAAAUGUCCGGGCUCAACCCGGGCCUUGCAGUGCAAACUGGCGGGCUUGAGUGCGCGGAAAGCAGGCGGAAUGCGUGGGGUAGCGGUGAAAUGCUUAGAUAUGACGAAGAACCCCGAUUGCGAAGGCAGCGUACCGGCUCCACACUGACGCUGAGGCACGAAAGCGUGGGUAUCGAACAGGAUUAGAUACCCGGGUAGUC
rnacentral:rRNA from 1 species